rnacentral:rRNA from 1 species
UACGAAGGGGGCUAGCGUUGUUCGGAAUCACUGGGCUUAAAGGGCGCGUAGGCGGGCUGUCAAGUCUGGGGUGAAAUCCCGCGGCUCAACCGUGGAACUGCCUCAGAUACUGACGGUCUCGAGGGGGAUAGGGGCGAGCGGAACUGUGAGUGGAGCGGUGAAAUGCGUUGAUAUUCACAGGAACUCCGGUGGCGAAGGCGGCUCGCUGGAUCUCUUCUGACGCUGAGGCGCGAAAGCUAGGGGAGCAAACGGG